AUUUAUAUUUGUAUUGUUGCAACUUAUUGUGUUGAAGCAGAUCUGGGAAAAUCAAAUUAUUAAAAUUGCGGAGAAUAUUUGUAAUCCAAAGCAGGAGGUAAAUACGACACAUGUUUCUAGGCUUUGUUCUUUAAUUCUUGUGAAAGCUAAUGAUGCAAUGAUAGGUUGCAUCACAUAAUCCCUCCAAGGAAGAGUGAGAAAAUGACUGUUAUCCUGAAAAGUUACUACUUUCAUUAUGAACUAACUUUUGAGGUUUUUUUGGAACUCUUCUAUUCAGUGUGCUGAACAAGACUCUGAAAUACCAUGCGAUUUUAAAUGCAAAAUUUGUUCACAGGUAACCAAUAGCUGAAUGUUCGAUUGCUUCUGUUCAUGGUCUGGUCGGCUACCUAUAAUGUGUUGGAAUUUUGUAUCGUAAUAUCCCCCAACAUAAUGAUCUUUCUGUUACAAGUGCUCGACUUUUGAUUUGUUUUGUUUUUUUGUGCUUAUAUAUAUGGUUUCUUUCAGUUGGAGAACAAACUAAUCAGCAUUUCUACUAUAUUUUUAUUGGAUUCUUCUGAGUUCCUGACUUCUAGAUAUCUAUCUUUUGUCAUUUUCAUUAUUCCUUAUGCCAGUUUCGGACAGUUUUGGCACUGAAUAAAUGAAAUUCUGCAACUAAAUGUCAACUCUGGAAUUUUGCAGGUGUUGCUCCGUUCUGAUGUUACUGAUAUUGUAGGAUACCUUUAUGAAGGAAAGCAGGAUAUUGAUUCUUUCCAAGAGCUUAUCUGUAAGGUGAUUGCUUUGACUGACGUGUGUAUGUUAAUCAAAUCCCUUGAAUUGAAAUUGAAUCGGAAUCGACGAUUAUGUCUGAUUUUAAAAAAAAAAAAAAAAAAUUAAGAAUCAGACCAGAAUUGUAGAUAAAUCGAUUUUUAUAUAAUUUUUUAUUUUUUAUAAUUUAUAGAAUAGCUAAUAAAUAUACAAAAAAAAAAAAACCCUCUAAUUUGAAUAUUAAUUUGUCUAAAACUCUAUAUUUUAACCAUAAGAAAUCAAGAUUGAUUCAUACUUUUUGGCCUUUCGCUUUACAUCGACUUGUUGCAUUUCAGAUGUUAGUAGAUGUUAAUCUUUACAAUUUGAGCUUUCUAUGAAUCACAGAAUUCAAACUACAUUGUGGUGUUAAUUGAUGAAAAUCAAAGUGUUCAUUCUUUGCAAUUAGAAAUUUCUUCAUUUUUUGGCAUUGUUUAUAAUCUUAAGUGAAUUUUUUAUUUUUUAUUUUUUUAUAACGCAUAGCAAUUGAACUUGAUAUAUUCAUAGCUUGUGUUAUAGUGCACCUUUUUUAUUAUUUCGAUUUUGUGUGCAAUUUGAAAUAUAAUUAUUAUUUUUUUAUUUCUUAUUCAAAUGGAGAGAGUUCAAUAUGUGGACUGCAAUUUUUUGAACUAUAUGAUCUAAUUAAUAUUUUUUAAGUAGAAGAAUUUAGGCAUUGUCCAUAAUUAAAAUAUACAUUCUAGCAUGCCUCUCUUAUGGAUCGAAUAAGAUUUAUCGAGAAAAAAUCAAUUCUUCUUAAAUUGUAAUUUAAUUUUUGAUGUUUUCGUUAUUUUCCUCUUUUAGUGAUUUUUAGUCUUCGCUAUUUUGAACCAUUUAGUUGAAUUUAUUAGCUUCUUGACAAUUUCUUAGCUGGAUUCUCUCAUUUACAUGAAAAAUUUCUAGGUCCAUGUAACAUAGAUUAGAUGGCUAACGUUAACCACCCCUCACAAUGGCAAAUAAAUCAAGUGUUAUUCAUUAUACAAAUAUCAAUACGGUCUUAUGGUAUUCUCCAUCCAGCUGAUUCCUGAGUGGACGACAAAGUUGCCUUUAAUUCCAUUCAAAUUUGAAUUUAUUGUUUUAUUUAGCAAUUUGUUUAUAGAAUUUUUUUCCGGGAAGCUUUAACCUUGCAUAAAUUUUUAUCUAAGGAGGAUGAUUCUAAACAAAGUGUCAAGACAGGAGCAGCAGUGGAUGCAGCCCAGAAAUCCAAAAAAAAAAAACAAUGGUGGAAUUUUUCCAUCGUUAAUAUUCUCUCGUUUUUGAAGAACACGAGAUCGACGUCCAAUAAACACAAGCACUAAGGCCAAGAUUCGCGAUAGCAACAGCAGUUCCUACUCUUCUUCAGUUUCGCUCAGUUUCCAUGUGUGUACUUCUUUGCAUCACUUUGGUAUUUCUUGUUUAAAAUGAAAUAAAAUCUUGGGCUCUUCUUGUUGUUUAAAUUAACGUGAUUUGUGCAAUA
rnacentral:lncRNA from 1 species